rnacentral:misc_RNA from 1 species
AUUGGCUUGUGGUGGCGCAUUGGAUCCCUGCUCAGGCAGCGACAGUGUCCCACGCAAGCCUCUUCAGUUGUUGGCUCGAGCAUGUCUCGACCAUUGUUGGUUUCUUGUGCUGAAUACCUACUGGGAAGGCAUUCUUAGGUUGCGAAUGAUAAUCUUCCGCCUUGUGCUGUGCCCCUCGUGGGUGCGGUGUCGGGUGGACCUCGAACCACGCUUCGUGUCCCAAGUGCCCUGCACAUGUUUGUGUUCGGUUUGUUGGCCCAUGUUGUCGUGUGUGAUCUCUCGGAUACGGAACAUUGUGCGGGCAUGAGGCCUCGGCCUCUAUCUUGCCUAAACAACAAGCGUUCUACGCUUCGUGCGAACGACUGACGCAGGUGUGUUGAACGGGCACUCGUGUCCGGCUCAUGUGCCUGCGUUGUCCGUAAAGAA